AGCCCUAACACAGUUCCACGAAGAACAAAGCCUGAUGUGAUGUGGCAGACUUGCACUUACCACUGGACAGCUGAAAAGAGCAUGGUGACUCCACCACUUCCAUGGGCAGGCUGUUCCAGUGACUGACCACUCUUGCAAGAAAGAAAACAUGUCAUAAUAGCCAACCUACACCUGCUCUGGUGCAACUGGAGCCAACCUGUCACCUGGGAGAAGAUACUGACCCCCACCUGCCUUGGACUUCCUUUCAGCCUGUGACCCAGAGCCACAACCAAAGGAGAUUCAAGACCUCUGGGGAGAAGAACACAAACAUGCCCCUGAGUUGAGCUAUGCCUCUCUGACUGAAGCACAGGGAUGGCUGUUUCUCUUCUGAAGGAAACAAGGUGGUGCUUGUGGUUAUGGUUCCACACUGCACACUUUCACCAGGCAGGACUUUUGACAGGCAGCAGCUGUCUCCAGAGUUCAUGCACCACUGUGGGAUGAAAGACAUCAGCCACCCUUUGCAGCACCACGGAGACAGAACAAGUCCUCUUUGAAGUGCA